UACAGAGGUCUCAAGCGUUGUUCGGAUUCAUUGGGCGUAAAGGGUGUGUAGGUGGCGCCGUAAGUCGGGUGUGAAAUUUCGGAGCUUAACUCCGAAACUGCAUUCGAUACUGCGGUGCUUGAGGGAGGUAGGGGUCUUUGGAACUUCUGGUGGAGCGGUGAAAUGCGUUGAUAUCAGAAGGAACGCCGGUGGCGAAAGCGAAGGACUGGACCUCUUCUGACGCUGAGGCGCGAAAGCUAGGGGAGCAAACGGG
rnacentral:rRNA from 1 species